rnacentral:rRNA from 1 species
AGAGUUUGAUCCUGGCUCAGGAUGAACGCUAGCUACAGGCUUAACACAUGCAAGUCGCGGGGCAGCAUGAAGUCAGCUUGCUGACUUUGAUGGCGACCGGCGCACGGGUGAGUAACGCGUAUCCAACCUGCCUGUUACCACGGCACAGCCCGUCGAAAGGCGGAUUAAUGCCGUAUGUGGUCUUGAAAGGGCAUCUGAUCAUGACUAAAGGUUCAGCGGUAACAGAUGGGGAUGCGUCCGAUUAGCUAGACGGCGGGGUAACGGCCCACCGUGGCGACGAUCGGUAGGGGUUCUGAGAGGAAGGUCCCCCACACUGGAACUGAGACACGGUCCAGACUCCUACGGGAGGCAGCAGUGAGGAAUAUUGGUCAAUGGGCGUAAGCCUGAACCAGCCAAGUAGCGUGAGGGAAGACUGCCCUAUGGGUUGUAAACCUCUUUUGUGCGGGGAUAAAGUGUGGGACGUGUCCCAUAUUGCAGGUACCGCACGAAUAAGGACCGGCUAAUUCCGUGCCAGCAGCCGCGGUAAUACGGAAGGUCCGGGCGUUAUCCGGAUUUAUUGGGUUUAAAGGGAGCGCAGGCCGUCCUUUAAGCGUGCUGUGAAAUGCCGCGGCUCAACCGUGGCACUGCAGCGCGAACUGGAGGACUUGAGUACGCACGAGGUAGGCGGAAUUCGUGGUGUAGCGGUGAAAUGCUUAGAUAUCACGAAGAACUCCGAUUGCGAAGGCAGCUUACUAAGCUGUAACUGACAUUGAUGCUCGAAAGUGUGGGUAUCAAACAGGAUUAGAUACCCUGGUAGUCCACACGGUAAACGAUGAAUACUCGCUGUUUGCGAUAUACGGCAAGCGGCCAAGCGAAAGCGUUAAGUAUUCCACCUGGGGAGUACGCCGGCAACGGUGAAACUCAAAGGAAUUGACGGGGGCCCGCACAAGCGGAGGAACAUGUGGUUUAA